rnacentral:tRNA from 1 species
CACUGAGAAGCUAACAAUGGACAGCAAUAGCCUUUUAAGCUAUAAACUGGUGACCACCUAUCACCCUCAGUGA